AGCUUUCUUUCUUGUAGUUUGUUUCUCUCUUUUGUAUCCACUGUCAUUUUCAACUUUCCAUUCAUUUCUCCAUCCUUUUUCACCCAAUUUUUAGAGUAAGCUCAAGAGAAAACUAGAGGAAGAAGAAAAAGAAAAUGGUUUUGAUUUUGAGGUUGAAAGAAAUAAAGGGUGUUUGGUUAGGACUAUGAAGUGCUUAAUUUUUAAAAAAAAUUAUUUUAAAAAAGUUGUAGUGUUUGACAAAUUAAAAUAAUGCAUUUUUUAGAAAAUGAUUUAUAAAUAUUUUGGACAAAUCCUGAAAAACCACAUUUUUGCAAAAUGAAGUUGAGGUGAUUGAUGGAAAAUUGAGUUUUUUCACCUUAUAUCAAAAUUACUAAUAUACCCUCCACAUUACCCCUCUUCUCUCAUUUUCCUCCCCAUUUUUGAUCUACUGUCGAAAGCACCUCCUUCCACCUCCUCCAUCAAACUACUCGAGACAUGUAGGAGAAAAUGAUGAUACAUAUGAGGAUAUGGAGCAUAAUGAUACUAAUGGUACAGAAUAGUCGAUACAUACUGCUGAUUACACUCAAGGGAAAGGAAAGAAAAGAAAAAAAAAUAGGAUCAAAAGGUAAUGUUGCAAAUAAACUUUGUGAUCAGUUGGAACGUGUAUGUGGAUCAAUAGAUAAUAGGAGAAGAGAUCUUCCAGGUUGCAGUAUUUUUGAAGUGAUGAAUGCCUUACGGGACAUACCUAGAAUUAUAAAAGGUGAUGAGCUUUUCUUGAAAGAUGCAGAUAUCUUUACAAAAAGGGAAAGUAGAGAAAUGUUUGUAGCGCUACAAGAGCCUGAGAUUCAAGUUGCAUGGUUGAAGCAAAAGAAAGUUUGACGACCUUAUAUUCUAGAAAAUGUUUGCUUGUAGAUAAUUACCAUUUUGGAGUGUUAUUUUUGUUAUGAAUGUUUUAUCGUUAUGUUUUUCAUAAAUGUUUUUAGAUUCCUUUAUGUUUAUCAGAUGUCGUCUGAUUAUUACAAUACUUAGCAAUGAUAGCAAUAUAUUAUAUUGUUAGGAUCUUUGGUUUCUAAUUUUAUUUUUUAAUGUCUUUAUGCCUUUCAGAUGUCAUCUGAUAAUUACAAUAUUGAUAGCAAUGAUCAUUAUGACGAAAGGGAUGUUGAAUAUGAACUCGAUCAAUUAGUAAAAUUGGGAUGUGGUGAUGUAGUCCAUCAUUUUGUAAUGCAUGUUUGCAAAGAGCCUUGUUGGACAUCUUCUCACACUGGUUACAAAUUUGUAAUGGAGAUCUUGAAUGGUCACGAGGAUAGAUGUCACCAACAAUUUAGAAUGGAAAAACAUAUAUUUCAGAAAUUGUUAGUAGUAUUUGAACAACAAUAUAACUUUAGUAAAGCCAAACGUAUGCCUUUGGAAGAGGCUCUUGCAAUGUUUCUUAUUACAGUCACGAUUUCUCAAAUAGAAUGGUUCAAGAAAGAUUUCAACUCUUAGGUGAGACUGUAUCAAAGUGGUUUAAUAUAGUGUUAGAUGUUAUUUGUCAUAUGGUUGUAGAUGCAAUUAAGCCUAUAGAUCCACAAUUCAAAACUACUUCUGAUAAGAUUAAAUAAGAAACUAGAUAUUGGCCGUAUUUCAAAGAUUGUAUUGGAGCAAUUGAUGUACUCAUAUGUAGGUUGUAGCACCUAAAGGAAGACAUAUACCGUACAUUGGUCGAAAAAGUAUUACCACCCAAAAUAUUAUGGCAGUCUGUGAUUUUAACAUGUGUUUUACAUUUGUUUGGGCUGGAUGGGAAGGAGCUACUCAUGAUGCUCGAAUUUUUGUGGAGGCAUUAAGAAGACCACAUUUAGGGUUUCCACAUCCACCCAAAGGUCCUUAUAGAGGUGAAUGAUACCAUCUUGCUGAUUUUCGACGUGGAAGUCAACCAAGAGGCAUGAAGGAGGUAUUUAAUCAUAGACAUUCUUCAUUAAGAUGCACUAUUGAAAGAACAUUUGAUGUUUGGAAGAAUAGAUGGAGAAUUGUUCGGCAAAUGCAUAGUUUUCCAUUUGACAAACAGGUAAAAAUUGUUGUUGCUUCAAUGCCUCUUCAUAACUUUAUAAGGGUUCGUUCAAAAACAAAUUAUGAGUUCAAGCCUUAUGACGGACCUUCAAAUGAUGAAAUAAAUUAUGAGGACGUCAAUGAAGAGCAUAGAGGUUCAGUUCGUGAAAUGGAGAUAAAUGAAGAACGUGAUCGAAUUGCACAACUUCUCAUGUCUAGUUGAUAUUAUAUUAUUUAAGAAAAAUUAUUAUUAUUAUUAUGUUUUGUUGUUGGAGAUCAAUUAUAAUUUUUAUGAUUAUGAAUUUAAGUAUCAAGAUACUUCUACCACUAAAAUAAAAUUAUCUAAAAAAUUUAAUACGAAAAAAA